AAAAUUUUUUUUUGAAAAAAAAAAAUGAGAAAGUAAUGCUAAGAUAUUUAUUAUCCCACAUUUUAAUCCUCUUCUCUAUAAUCGCUGUCUGUUACCCUUUCUAUCCUAACUACCGCUUCAAUUACAAAAAGUGCCUUAACAAACAGUGUAAUCUAAGAUGUGCUUAUGGAUUGAUUUAUGACAGCCAGGGAUGUCAGCAAUGUCAAUGUAUUCCGAAAGCCGAAAAAUGCCCAUCCAAAAGGCUUUGCAAUAUUAGGUGCCUUGGAGAUCCUAUCUUCAAUGAUCAAGGUUGUCAAAUGUGCCAAUGCUAUACUCCUUUAAAAA